UAGARUCAAAUUUGAGCGAUUUUAACAUCUGAGUCCGUCCUAUCAAYUCUAUCCAAACAUAACRUUUUUUAAAAAAGCAAUGUUUACACAACUCAAAUUUAUAAUUUUCGGAUCUGUUCUUCGUCAUCUGUGUAUGAUUUUUUUUAGCCAACCAUGGUACAUUUGUUAUUAAUUAUUGAACAUUUUAAUUUUGAAUAAUACCCGUAAAAUAAAAGAUUUAACAAUGUUCACAAUAAUUUUGCAUCACAUUCUUUACGUACCAAAUAAAAGCUUGAAAUAUUAAAAAAAAUUGUGUUUGUACUUACCAAAAUACACAAUUAACAAUUAACAAAAGACGAAAAAAAACAAUUUGAUUUAUGCUUGCUAAUGGCCGUUUGUUUGUUUGGUAGGGGUAGGUAAGUGUAAGGAAAAUUAAAGUAGGCUACUGAUGACAUGCAACCCCUACGUCAAGCAUGCGCGUUACAAAUUUGGUCUUAAAUGUGUUACUGGGCCAUUAUAUUGGUGUGUACCUCUUAGAAAAACGGACUCUACAUGGUUGGUGUUCUGGGGUAUGUCAUACCCCACACUAAAAUUUUUUACUCAGGAUGCAGUGAAUUUGGAAUUUUCGUUGUUUCAUUGGUAAAACAUGAUUCUAUGCCUAUUUGUAAUUGGAAUAUUAAUAAUAAAUUGUUUAAAAAUAUCUUUAUUUAAAAAUAUAAAUAUUAACUCAAAAUAACAUCAAUUCUGUUCCCUGAAAAACAUAGGCAGACAUUAUUGGACAUAAAUAAUUUUUGAAAGGAUAACUUAUAAUCGAACUAACACUAUAUUCUGCAAAAAUAUAGAACAAACAGAUCAAAAAAAAAAUUAAAGCAUUAUCGUGAAAAAUACAAAAGUUACGGCUCUUCUAAUUUGGCACAAUUUUCACAGGUCAAAAAAGCGUGCUCCAGGCAAAGUGGAAUAUCACAUUGCAUACAGGCAUAAAUUGUCUUUCUGUCCUUGUUUCUUGGACAAACAGAACACCUCCUGCUUGUCCUACAUCGUUUAGAUACCGGUUCAUGACGUUCUGUCGGCUGGCUCUCGCGUAGCCCUCUGCGCAAGUUAGGACUUUUUCUUCGCUGAUCUCGAAAGUCGGUGAUCAGCUGUAGGCCAAGUUCUUUCAAAAACAUUCGUCGUUUUAAGUUGAAAUUUUGCGUAUUGGGUUUACAUACAACUUGAGCAUUUACUCCUGCAGUAUUCAAAAUCGAGAAAAAUAAAGUCAAAGGCCAGCGGCGACUGUUUCUUGCUACGCUGUAAUUUGCGGAUAAUUCAUUCAAAGUGUCAACGCCACCUUUGGUGGAAUUAUAAAAGUCGAUAAUUUCAGGCAAGUUUUUGUCGCCAGAAUGCUCAACUAUUGUGCCAUCAUGAUGUAAAGUAGAAAAAAGUAUGACAUUCUUCGAUUUUCUUGGCACAUACGACAUAGCCGUAAUAUCUUUUUUGAAGACAAACAUUGAACUGCAAUGUUCUCUGGUUCGUAUGCUGAGAAAUGGUGAAGGAAUUUCCCGUUUAUUUUUUCUCACCGUUCUAACAGAGAUACUGGCUCAAUUAAACGUUGCAAUCCUGCGGAUUGUUACUUUGUCGGAAAGGUCCUUCCGGUUGGUCCCUACGUAUACUUCCAUGUUCAGGCAACAAUACGUUUUCGCGUCGACAAGUGCGAAUACUUUUAAACCAUAUUUGGCGGGUUUAUUGGGAAUGUACUGACGGAAUGACACCCGUCCCCUGAAUGGCUCCAGCUUUUCGUCAAUUGUUAGAGUUUCCAUAUCUGCAAACGGAGUUUCGUAACUUUGUUCUUGAGGGUUCCCCAUAAAAAGUAGUCCAAGGGAGUACAAUCGGGACUACGUGAUGGCCGGCCAUGCAUUAACACUAUCUCGUCCAAUCCACCUCCGUCGAUAUAUUUUGUCCAAAUAAUCCCUUACAUUUCGAUUGUAAUGUGGAGGCGCACCAUCGUGCUGAAACCACAUUCUUUGUCUAAUUUUUAGAGAUACAUUUUCUAGAAGUAAUGGCAAAUCGUUUUGCACAAACUUUAAAUAUCGAUUUCCCGGCAAAUUAUUUUCGAAUAAAUAUGGACCAAUGAUAUAGUUGUCUAUUAUUCCACACCACACAUUAAUUGAAAUUACUUGCUGAAAAUGAAAUUACCUUAUCCAACGAGGAUUCUCCAAAGCAUAAUAAUGACAAUUGUGGCGAUUCACAACACCGUUACAAAACUUAGCCUCAUAACUAAACAUGACAAACCUCAAAAAAUCAGGUUCUUGGUCCAUUUUAUCCUGCAUAAAAUGACAAAAGCGAACUCGCUUCUCAUAAUCAGCUUCCUUUAACGCUUGACCAAUGUAAUAUGGUGGUGGCGAUGACGAUGGCGAUGUACGACGUGGUGGCGCGAUUUGACUGGAAGGUAGGGGAAGGAAGGAAAAACCAGGAUCACCAGAUGAAACAGUGUUAUCUGCAAAUUUCUCUGGUCAGGAAUUGGAUUGUGAAACUCUGUAA